UACGGGGGGGGCAAGCGUUGUUCGGAAUUAUUGGGCGUAAAGGGCGCGCAGGCGGCCAGGGAAGUCAAGGGUGAAAGCCCCCGGCUCAACCGGGGAGUAGCCAAUGAAACCACCUGGCUGGAGUGCUGGAGAGGAAAGCGGAAUUCCCAGUGUAGCGGUGAAAUGCGUAGAUAUUGGGAGGAACAUCUGUGGCGAAGGCGGCUUUCUGGACAGACACUGACGCUGAGGCGCGAAAGCCAGGGGAGCAAACGGG
rnacentral:misc_RNA from 1 species